rnacentral:rRNA from 1 species
AUGCAAGCAUGUUCCUUAUUACUGGGUAGACCAUGGCAAUUUGAUAAAAAUUCUGUACACCAUGGUAGAAACAAUCACUAUACUCUUGUUCAUAAGGAUAAAAAUAUUACUUUGCUUCCUAUGACUCCUGAUUCCAUUUUGAAAGAUGAUAUUAAUAGAGCUAAUAAAGCACAACAGGAGAAGAAUAAGAGUGAAAAUCAGAUUGUGGCAAAAGAAUUUGGGCAACAAAUGAAGCCUAAUAAUAAACCAUCUAGUGUUGCUUCUGAAAUUAAAUUGAAAAGUGCAUGUUUAUUUGCCACCAAAUCUGAUAUUGAUGAGCUAGAUUUCAGCAAAUCUGUUUGCUAUGCUUUUGUGUGCAAAGAGGCAUUAUUUUCAUUCGAGGACGUGCCUUCCUCUUUGCCUCCUGCUGUCACUAACAUUUUGCAGGAGUUCGCUGACGUUUUUCCACAAGACGUGCCACCGGGAUUACCGCCUAUUCGAGGGAUUGAGCAUCAGAUUGACUUAAUUCCCGGUGCUUCACUGCCAAACCGUGCACCAUACCGUACCAAUCCAGAGGAGACGAAGGAGAUUAUGCGUCAAGUACAAGAGCUUCUCGACAAAGGUUAUAUACGCGAAUCCCUUAGUCCUUGUGCUGUUCCUAUUAUUCUAGUGCCGAAAAAGGAUGGUACAUCACGUAUGUGUGUUGAUUGUAGAGGCAUUAAUAAUAUUACUAUUCGUUAUCGCCAUCCUAUUCCUAGGCUAGAUGAUAUGCUUGAUGAAUUGAGUGGCUCUACAAUAUUCUCCAAAGUUGAUUUGCGUAGUGGCUACCAUCAAAUUCGUAUGAAAUUGGGAGAUGAAUGGAAAACAGCAUUUAAAACUAAGUUUGGAUUAUAUGAGUGGUUAGUCAUGCCUUUUGGGUUAACUAAUGCACCUAGUACUUUCAUGAGAUUAAUGAACGAAGUUUUACGUGCUUUCAUUGGACGAUUUGUGGUAGUUUACUUUGAUGACAUAUUGAUUUAUAGCAGAUCUUUGGAAGAACAUUUGGAACAUUUACGUGCUGUUUUUAUUGCUCUACGUGAUGCACGUUUGUUUGGUAACCUUGGGAAGUGCACCUUUUGCACCGACCGAGUAUCUUUUCUUGGCUAUGUUGUUACUCCACAGGGAAUUGAAGUUGAUAAAGCCAAGAUUGAAGCUAUUGAGAGUUGGCCGCACCCAAAACGGUCACACAAGUGA